GACGAACGCUGGCGGCGUGCUUAACACAUGCAAGUCGAACGGAAAGGCCCUGCUUUUGUGGGGUGCUCGAGUGGCGAACGGGUGAGUAACACGUGAGUAACCUGCCCUUGACUUUGGGAUAACUUCAGGAAACUGGGGCUAAUACCGGAUAGGAGCUCCUGCUGCAUGGUGGGGGUUGGAAAGUUUCGGCGGUUGGGGAUGGACUCGCGGCUUAUCAGCUUGUUGGUGGGGUAGUGGCUUACCAAGGCUUUGACGGGUAGCCGGCCUGAGAGGGUGACCGGCCACAUGGGGACUGAGAUACGGCCCAGACUCCUACGGGAGGCAGCAGUGGGGAAUAUUGCACAAGGGGCGGAAGCCUGAUGCAGCAACGCCGCGUGCGGGAUGAGGGCCUUCGGGGUGUAAACCGCUUUCGCCUGUGACGAAGCGUGAGUGACGGUAAGGGGUAAAGAAGCACCGGCUAACUACG
rnacentral:rRNA from 1 species